CUUAUCAAUACACAAAUGUAUAACUCCCCAGGAAUUUCAAUUGCGCUUAUAUCCAUCACUGCAGGACUUGGAUUUAAUAUUUUCCCAGCCCCUUUUCAUCAAUGGACUCCCGACGUCUAUGAAGGAGUGUGGUUCGUUCGACAAUCCUACCUCUAUAUCUAUCUCUGAGGUGUUUGGGUUUUGCAAAACUCCAUAGACAUGCAGAAGAGAAAUGCUAUCCCCACUCCGACCAAGAUAGAACUUUUACCAAAAGUUUAUUGUGAUCUUUUUGUUCAAAUAACAAUUAAGGUGAAGCAGGGUCAGGGACCUUCGAAACUAGAUCCCACAUGUUGGUAUGUUCCAACGAAAAAAUAUCAGGUAAAAAGUUACCAGGCAUGGGCUACGUAA
rnacentral:rRNA from 1 species